GCCCGGGUGGCGAAAUUGGUAGACGCGUACGCUUCAGGUGCGUAUGUCGCAAGACAUGGAGGUUCAAGUCCUCUCCCGGGCACAA
rnacentral:tRNA from 1 species